GCACAAGCGUGGAGCAUGUGGUUAAUUCGACGCAACGCGAAGAACCUUACCAGGGCUUGACAUCCCCUGACCGCGUAUGAAAGUACGUUUUCACCCUCGGGUGACAGGGAGACAGGUGGUGCAUGGUUGUCGUCAGCUCGUGUCGUGAGAUGUUGGGUUAAGUCCCGCAACGAGCGCAACCCCUACGUUUAGUUGCUAACGCGUGAAGGCGAGCACUCUAGACGAACUGCCGUUGACAAAACGGAGGAAGGUGGGAUGACGUCAAAUCAUCAUGCCCCUUAUGUUCUGGGCUACACACGUGCUACAAUGGCCGGUACAGACGGACGCAAAGCCGCGAGGUGGAGCAAAUCCUAAAAAGCCGGUCUCAGUUCGGAUUGCAGGCUGCAAUUCGCCUGCAUGAAGUCGGAAUCGCUAGUAAUCGCAGGUCAGCAUACUGCGGUGAAUACGUUCCCGGGCCUU
rnacentral:rRNA from 1 species